rnacentral:rRNA from 1 species
UAGCUAGUUGGUAGGGUAAAGGCCUACCAAGGCGACGAUCGGUAGCUGGUCUGAGAGGAUGACCAGCCACACUGGAACUGAGACACGGUCCAGACUCCUACGGGAGGCAGCAGUGGGGAAUAUUGGACAAUGGGGGGAACCCUGAUCCAGCAAUGCCGCGUGUGUGAAGGAGGCCUGAGGGUUGUAAAGCACUUUCAGUGGGGAGGAGGUUUGAUUGGUUAAGAGCUGAUUGAAUGGACGUUACCCACAGAAGAAGCACCGGCUAACUCCGUGCCAGCAGCCGCUGUAAUACGGAGGGUGCGAGCGUUAAUCGGAAUUACUGGGCGUAAAGGGUGCGUAGGUGGUUGUUUAAGUUAUCUGUGAAAUCCCUGGGCUCAACCUGGGCAGGUCAGAUAAUACUGAAUAACUCGAGUAUAGGAGAGGGUAGUGGAAUUUCCGGUGUAGCGGUGAAAUGCGUAGAGAUCGGAAGGAACACCAGUGGCGAAGGCGGCUACCUGGCCUGAUACAGACACUGAGGCACAAAAGCGUGGGGAGCAAACAGGAUUAGAUACCCUGGUAAUCCACGCUGUAAACGAUGUCAACUAGCUGUUGGUUAUAUGAAUAUAAUUGGUGGCGC